GACGAACGCUGGCGGCGUGCUUAACACAUGCGAGUCGAACGGUAAGGCCCUUCGGGGUACACGAGUGGCGAACGGGUGAGUAACACGUGGGUGAUCUGCCCUGCACUUCGGGAUAAGCCUGGGAAACUGGGUCUAAUACCGGAUAGGACCAUUGCCUGCAUGGGUGGUGGUGGAAAGCUUUUGCGGUGUGGGAUGGGCCCGCGGCCUAUCAGCUUGUUGGUGGGGUGAUGGCCUACCAAGGCGACGACGGGUAGCCGGCCUGAGAGGGUAACCGGCCACACUGGGACUGAGAUACGGCCCAGACUCCUACGGGAGGCAGCAGUGGGGAAUAUUGCACAAUGGGCGCAAGCCUGAUGCAGCGACGCCGCGUGAGGGAUGACGGCCUUCGGGUUGUAAACCUCUUUCAGCAUCGACGAAGCGCAAGUGACGGUAGGUGCAGAAGAAGGACCGGCCAACUACGUGCCAGCAGCCGCAGUAA
rnacentral:rRNA from 1 species